rnacentral:rRNA from 1 species
AUAGAACGCUGGCGGCAUGCCUUACACAUGCAAGUCGAACGGUAACAGGUCUUCGGAUGCUGACGAGUGGCGAACGGGUGAGUAAUACAUCGGAACGUGCCUAGUAGUGGGGGAUAACUACUCGAAAGAGUGGCUAAUACCGCAUGAGAUCUACGGAUGAAAGCAGGGGAUCGCAAGACCUUGUGCUACUAGAGCGGCCGAUGGCAGAUUAGGUAGUUGGUGGGAUAAAAGCUUACCAAGCCGACGAUCUGUAGCUGGUCUGAGAGGACGAUCAGCCACACUGGGACUGAGAAACGGCCUAGACUCCUACGGGAGGCAGCAGUGGGGAAUUUUGGACAAUGGGCGCAAGCCUGAUCCAGCAAUGCCGCGUGCAGGAUGAAGGCCUUCGGGUUGUAAACUGCUUUUGUACGGAACGAAAAGCCUCGGGUUAAUACCCUGGGGUCAUGACGGUACCGUAAGAAUAAGCACCGGCUAACUACGUGCCAGCAGCCGCCGUAA